rnacentral:rRNA from 1 species
ACGAACGCUGGCGGCGUGCUUAACACAUGCAAGUCGAACGGAAAGGCCCUGCUUUUGUGGGGUGCUCGAGUGGCGAACGGGUGAGUAACACGUGAGUAACCUGCCCUUGACUUUGGGAUAACUUCAGGAAACUGGGGCUAAUACCGGAUAGGAGCUCCUGCUGCAUGGUGGGGGUUGGAAAGUUUCGGCGGUUGGGGAUGGACUCGCGGCUUAUCAGCUUGUUGGUGGGGUAGUGGCUUACCAAGGCUUUGACGGGUAGCCGGCCUGAGAGGGUGACCGGCCACAUUGGGACUGAGAUACGGCCCAGACUCCUACGGGAGGCAGCAGUGGGGAAUAUUGCACAAUGGGCGGAAGCCUGAUGCAGCAACGCCGCGUGCGGGAUGACUGCCUUCGGGUUGUAAACCGCUUUCGCCUGUGACGAAGCGUGAGUGACGGUAAUGGGUAAAGAAGCACCGGCUAACUACGUG